ACUCCUACGGGAGGCAGCAGUGGGGAAUAUUGCACAAUGGGGGAAACCCUGAUGCAGCCAUGCCGCGUGUGUGAAGAAGGCCUUCGGUUGUAAAGCACUUUCAGUAGGGAGGAAGGUAGUGUAGUUAACACCUGCAUUAUUUGACGUUACCUACAGAAGAAGCACCGGCUAACUCCGUGCCAGCAGCCGCGGUAAUACGGAGGGGUGCGAGCGUUAAUCGGAAUUACUGGGCGUAAAGCGCAUGCAGGCGGCCUGUUAAGUCAGAUGUGAAAGCCCGGGGGCUUAACCUCGGAAUUGCAUUUGAAACUGGCAGGCUAGAGUCUGUAGAGGGGGUAGAAGUUUCGAGGUGUAGCGGUG
rnacentral:rRNA from 1 species